rnacentral:rRNA from 1 species
GGACUACACGGGUAUCUAAUCCCGUUCGCUCCCCUGGCUUUCGCGCCUCAGCGUCAGUUUUCGUCCAGAAAGCCGCCUUCGCCACUGGUGUUCUUCCUAAUAUCUACGCAUUUCACCGCUACACUAGGAAUUCCGCUUUCCUCUCCGAUACUCUAGCCUACUAGUUUCCAUCCCAUCACGGGGUUGAGCCCCGAACUUUUAAGACAGACUGGAUAGGCCGCCUGCGCGCGCUUUACGCCCAAUAAUUCCGGACAACGCUUGCCACCUACGUAUUACCGCGGCUGCUGGCAC